UGGAAAAAACCCCUGUUGUAGCCCCCUUGUUGAGGGGGGCAUAUAUAAGUGGGCCUCAACAACCACUUAGUCAACACGGGUCAAAAAAUUUACUAACAGGUUGGGGCGGGCUUUUUUAGAGUUCGCUUCAAUAGAACUUGUUGGAGGGGGCUUUAUAUUGCCCGCCUCAAUAGAUACUAGUCUAAAGGGGCGGGCUUUGUUUUGUUCGCUUUAACCGAUAUUCACGAAAUUUAAAACAAUAAAAACAUAGCUUCUCAUCGCCAAACCGAUAAAACAAUCCCUUCAAAUCUCUAUAUUCAAACAAAGCAAGUACGCUUCUAGUGCAAUCUGCAGGCGAGUUCGCACCGCUCCUCACCGCGCGCCUCCACCACCACCACCACCUUCCUCGCCUCCUCUUCCAUAGUAGUCGCCCCCGACCGUCGUCUUCCCUAUCUCGGUUGACUCUGUUUCACACAGUGACGCAAUCUGUCAAGUUUUUGGCUAUGAGCCUCAUUCGGUGUUGCCAAUUGGUGUUGUUUCUCUUGCUGAUCUUACAGUUUUUCUUCCUUUCUCGAAAAUUAACGUCUUUGCUAGUACUGUUGUUACAGUUGUAUCAUAGUGCCUGGUGGAGUACAAGAGACGUUCCAUAUGGAGCAUGGCUCUGAGCUUGUUUUGAGUACUGGAAGCGGUGUUAAUGGUUUCACUCUAGAUCCAUCUCUUGGAGUGUAUAUUUUAACUCAUCCAGACAUCAAGGGAUCGAGUCGAUUGGAAGAAAGUCAACACGGCCUUAAUUAAGGUUUGUAAUGCAUGAUCUAAAGGGAGCUAAGUGGCCAGAUUAGAGAAAUUUGUUAGACUAGCUCUCUAGCCUUUUGUCUUUAUUUGUUAAUAUUAGUUUUAAUUUGUUAGACUAGCUAGCUAGGUGUUUAAAAAUUGUAAACGUACGUACUAUACGCUUUUCUCUAUUGGGUUAAUAUAAAUGAAGUUAAUUUAAUGAUUUAUUAAUAAAAAAUAA